rnacentral:lncRNA from 1 species
UGACUUCAUACAAAAUAUUACUCCUUUAAAUUAUAUGUACGUACAUAUAUAUACAUGCGCAUACGUGAACAUAUAUACAUAUGUGUUCCCAUAUGUAUAUACACCUAUACAUAAAACACAAUAAAUAAACGUUACAGGAAUUCAACACUUAUAUAAAAGAUAAUUUGUUAGCUCGUUUUGAUUUUUUGUUUGAGCUUAGUUUUGAGAAAGAUGAUGAUGAUGAUGAUGUGAUCGAUGAAAUAUUAAGAAAUGCUGAUGAUGAUAAUGAUGGUGAUGAUAAUAAAAUAAAAAAUAAAGAUUUUUUUUUUGAAUUGAAUGAUAAAUAUGCUUACUUAAAGAAAGGUAAUUUAUAUAAUUAUGAAUUUGUUGAAAUGAGUAAUACAACAAAAUCUAUAAUUCAAAAGUAUUUUAAUAUGGCAUCCGAUUUAACAACUUUAACUAUUUACCACAUAGGCAUUUGUGAGUUAUUAUGCAUUAGUGUGUCCAUUUUAUUAGGAAAAAAAGAAUGCUUAAUAGAGCAUGUUGUUUUAGGGAUGUUUUUAUAUGACAACUUUGUAUCAUCUACAAAAAACAAAUUAACUCAAUUCGAUAAAAAUUUUUUAAACAGCAUACUGAACUGUUUAGAUACUAAACAUAAUUCGUUCCAAAAAUUAAUGAAUUACUUUUCGUCUUAUUUAAAUGCUACAAUAAAUACGUAAUAGCAAAGUAAAUUAAUAAUUCAUUACUAAAGUAUUAUUAUAAGUAUACAUGCCGCUAUAUACACAUAUAUAAACACGAACUUGUAUAAUAUACGUAUUUAUAUAUUUAUGUUAUAUUUAAUGAGGCAAUGUGCCUCUCAGCCUGUUUACAUAUAUAUAUUAAUUUUAUUUAGCAGCUUACGUAGAAUAUUUUUUUUUUUUUUUUUUUUUUUUUUUUUAUAUACAAAUAUAAAAUACGCAUAUUAGGAGUUAUGUUUACACAAUUUGUUAUAGCAAUUUACUUUAAAAAAUGCUAUUGUGCUUAAUUGCAUUCAGUUUAAUAAUUAUAAAUAUAUAUAAGUGUGAAUGUUUUUUAUCUACGUUUGGAUAUAAUAAAAAAAAAUUGAAAUAAAAAUAAUAGAACA